CCUAAACACCCACCGCCAUCGAUGAUCCUCCUCCUUCUCUUUUGCUGGUGCCUCAGCCGAAUUCGAGAAGAUCGUCAAGAUUUGAAUUAGAUUUGAGUCCUAGGGCAAGAUCUGACCGUCGUGAGUGAUCGACACAUAUCCGUCGCCGGCGGUGAAGAGUGAGAACGGUUAAGAUCUGAAUCAAAUUCGAUUUCGCAAUCUAAAAAUCUCUUGAGCACUCAAAUCUUUGUGAUUCUUGCUCUAAUCAACACCUCUCUCUAAGAUCUGAGUCAGAUUCGAUGGUGGCGAAGAAGGCUGGGAUGCGGUGAGAAAUGAAACCAUUUUGAUAAAACCACAAUUUUGACAAAGAAGAACAAGUGUUCAAUCAAUCAUCAGCGGGAAAAAGGGGCUUCAUUUGAGUUGGGUUUAUCAUAUCAUCAUCAUCAUCAUCAUCUUCUGCAUCUAAAAAGAGAGAAAAAUGAAGUAUGUGUUAUUGACAGGCGGCGUAGUUAGCGGUCUUGGUAAAGGGGUGACUGUCAGUAGCAUUGGUGUCAUUCUCAAGGCUUGUGGGCUUCGUGUUACUUCUAUUAAGAUUGUUCAGUUUAGUCUUUUUACUACUUGAAUGUGGCAUUUUUGAAAAAAAAAUUAGCUCUUUUACACUAUUGUUACUUUGAGUUAUGUACAGUAAUCUGGGUUUUCUUUUUGUUUGUAAUGUCUUUGAAAGAAGCCUACUUUUGUUUCAACUACCCUUGUGAAAUGUUCACACACUACAAAAAUUUAAUAUUUUAAAGACCAAAAUUUAUGGACAAUUAUUUUUUAGGGACCAAAUAUUUUUGUUGCCAAAAGUGUCGUCAUCAUAUUUUUAGUAACGAAAAU